rnacentral:rRNA from 1 species
UACGGAGGGUGCAAGCGUUAAUCGGAAUUACUGGGCGUAAAGCGCACGCAGGUGGCUGAGAAAGUCGAUUGUGAAAGCCCUGGGCUUAACCUGGGAAUUGCAGUCGAAACUACUCGGCUAGAGUAUGGGAGAGGGUAGUGGAAUUCCCGGUGUAGCGGUGAAAUGCGUAGAUAUCAGGAGGAACACCGGUGGUGUAGACGGCUUACUGGACCACGACUGACACUGAGGCACGAAAGCGUGGGUAGCAAACAGG